UACAAGCAGAUGACCACAGCUGAAGUGGAUUGUGAGCUUGGAGAGGUCCUGAAACUGGCCACUUUUCGAAAGGGAUGUUCAAAAUUUGAGGAGAAGAGGAGGAAUUAAGAGGGAGGACAAAAAAGGAAAAAGAAACAAGCAAAAGAACAGAGUGAGAUGAGAGAUGGCUCCUUCUUUUGUGGUCGUUGAGUUCCUUGGUGAACAUUCAGUCGCUGUUGUCCCAACCAAAUGGACAGAAGAUGAUGGAAAGAAUACCUUCUGCUAUUGGCCAAGGCCAAAUCCUACCCACUCCAGAAUCCGGAAAGCUGAGAUUCCUGACAAACAAUUCUGGGAGAGGCUGCCAAUUCGGGUUUUCAGGAAAACAUUGACUGAAGACUUUGACAAGGCCCUUCAAUACGAAAAACAAGCUAAAAUGUUUUCGAGCCCAGAAGAAGUGUUAACCAA